rnacentral:ncRNA from 1 species
AGGAGCCGUAUGAAUCGAGAGGUUCACGUACGGAUCUGUGAGAGCGCAGGGGGGAGGUUCCCCUGCGCCACUCGAC